UGNGCUGGCGGCAUGCCUUNACAUGCAANUCGAACGGUAACGCGGGGCAACCUGGCGACGAGUGGCGAACGGGUGAGUAACGCAUCGGAACGUGCCCAGUAGUGGGGGAUAGCCCGGCGAAAGCCGGAUUAAUACCGCAUACGACCUACGGGUGAAAGGGGGGGAUCGCAAGACCUCUCGCUAUUGGAGCGGCCGAUGUCAGAUUAGGUAGUUGGUGGGGUAAAGGCCUACCAAGCCUACGAUCUGUAGCUGGUCUGAGAGGACGACCAGCCACACUGGGACUGAGACACGGCCCAGACUCCUACGGGAGGCAGCAGUGGGGAAUUUUGGACAAUGGGCGCAAGCCUGAUCCAGCCAUGCCGCGUGCGGGAAGAAGGCCUUCGGGUUGUAAACCGCUUUUGUCAGGGAAGAAAUCCUCUGAGCUAAUACCUCGGGGGGAUGACGGUACCUGAAGAAUAAGCACCGGCUAACUACGUGCCAGCAGCCGCGGUAAUACGUAGGGUGCAAGCGUUAAUCGGAAUUACUGGGCGUAAAGCGUGCGCAGGCGGUUAUGCAAGACAGAUGUGAAAUCCCCGGGCUCAACCUGGGAACUGCAUUUGUGACUGCAUAGCUGGAGUACGGCAGAGGGGGAUGGAAUUCCGCGUGUAGCAGUGAAAUGCC
rnacentral:rRNA from 1 species